CCUGGUGGCUCAGAUGGUAAAGUUUCUGCCUGCAAUGCAGGAGACCUGGGUUCAAUACCUAGAUCCAGAA
rnacentral:tRNA from 1 species